AUCAAACAACACCAUUAAAAAGUGGGCAAAGAACAUGAACAGAAACUUUUCAAAAGAAGACAGACUAAAAGGGCAACAAACAUACGGUACAUGUUUAUUAUUUGUGGGGACUAGUUCUGUUCUCAGCACUGGGAAAUACAACUCCAAACAAAACAGAAAAAAAUUCCUGCCCUCAUGGAGCAUACACAGUAAGUAAAGUAUAUCGUAAGGCAGAUGGUGUUGAAUGUGAUGGAGAAAAAUAAAACAGGAAAGGGUGCAGGGGCGGUGGCCUUGGAGAGGGGUGUGGGGUUUGACUUUAAGUAACCUGGUUGGAGGCCAGGUUGGGUAAAGACCUGAAGGAGGCCGAGCUAGUCCAGCAAGAACCAGGAAAGGGUAUUUCAGGAAGUGGGGAAGAAACGCAGAGCAUCUGUGUUGCAUGGCAACGUGCUUGGUGUACACAGAGGCAGGCGGAGUGAGCAGAGUGAGUGUGCGGCACAGCAGCGGGUGUGAGACCGGAGACCUGGAGAGGUGAACAAUAACAGUCUGCAAAGGCAGAACAGCAUCAUAAAUAUGGUAGAAUUGUGACCAUGCACAGGAGAGCAAAUGGACAAAGACCAUAGAACUCAUAUCAGAAAGACAUUAUCAGAAAGCUGAGGAACCAUCUGGAGAGAAAAGCCAGUCCCGGGAAGUAAUGAGAAGCCUGAAGAUCCCAGAGGAUGCUGUUAGAGGAAAAGUCAGGAAAGUGUUGAAGACUCUACCUCCUGCAAAUAUAAAAAUCAACAGGACAAGAGAGUAAACAACUCACCCAGAGUCACCCAGCUGGUGUGGACCAGAUCCACUGUGACAAGGUAUUGCCCAGGCCAUCACCUCCUCCUCACCCCUCAGUCACCACUGUAAUCCACAUGAUUGCCUUCAGUCACCUGGAUGACAACAGUGGCUAGGCAUGGGCGACAGCACGGAUGGCCAGUGACCUCUUUUCCUUCCUCUUUCCUUCUCCUCUGGACCAAGCGAUGAGGGCACUAGGAAACCUUCCUUGAGAACAUACGUGGACCGGGCUGUUCCUCCACCAAGAGGUUGGUGGGAAGACCAAGGGAAAGGACUGGAAAGCGGCUUGCCAGCUGUGACACACCACACAGAAGCUCAGGAUUACCACUCUCAACUAUGAGCUAGGAGAGGCCACGAUCUUCCGGUCCUCCCACCACUUCCCCGUUUCUCUCUUCUUCCCACUUCCUCUUUUUCCGCCUUCCGAACACCUUUUCAGCGGUGAACACCCAGCACCGGUGGGAGGGGUAACAUGAGCCGAGGUUUUGAAUUGCUAAAAUAAAUCAAAGAGCCAAUGUAAAUUACACCCAAAUUACUGAGAAAAGUGAAACAAAAACAAGUUCAGAGCCCAAUCCCAGGAAGAUGUUGCCUUCUGUAUUGACUUACCGCUUCAUGUUUUCCUGGUACAUCAAGGUCUCCGAGCUUCGACCAUUAUCCUUCCGCCUUCUAAAGCGAGAAAGCAAACGCUGACUCGUGCCAUUUGCCCCAGAUGCCACCGGAAAUGGCAUCUUCUCCCCAGACGCAGGCGCCCAGAGGCUAAUUCAUUUCCCCGUAGCCAUAGCGCAGGUUCUGGGCUCUCCAGCCUGGCUCCUCUGCUCCGCGGCGGGGGAGGAAGGACUCUGUCUGGGGAAGAGAGCUAGGGUCAACUGACACAGACGUUUUCCCAAAUCACCGCUUACUUUAACGAGAUGCGCCUGACCCUGGAGAGAGGAGAGAAAAGUCUCCAGGGAGGGAAGCCGGGAUGUCUGUAGUAUGUGAUGGUUGCCCUGAAGAUGCACACACAGGGCCAGAAGAGUUGUUCCACCUGCCUGGGAGUGAAGGUCACCUUCCCCUCCGCUUUCCCUGUCUUGGUGCCCAUGGCAUCUGCCCCUUUACCAGUUUCUGGCUUGAACUGGAAUGAAGAUAUGGAGAUGAAGAGCUCCAGCAGGCUCAGGCACAGCUGGGACGUCAUUGCCCCUCCUUAACCCCAUUCACAAAUGCUUGCCACUGGACACGCAGUGGCCAGAGAGUGAGCGCUCAGAGCAUCCCCUGCUAAUCUCCCCUCCCGACAGCAGAGGCGAUAGUCAUCCUUGCACAGAUGAUCCAGGGCUGUGCAAGGCCUUCGUUCCAGCCCGUGGGGACAGUGACGCACAGUAAAGCACUGACUUAAGGCAGCUGGGAGAUAAGAACUGCAGCUCCACUUCUGCAACUCUGCACGACCCCAGGCAACCCAGGCACUCUCCAUUCUGAGCCCCAGGUGCCUUUAGUACGGUAAAGGAAAUCUCUGCAGGCCUGCGGCUCCCUGGCCUUCCCAUCUGUGAAGGGUAGCGUAUGCACGGACCUUAAUGGACUAGGGGGCUGUAUGCUAGUCUAAAACACCAACUCUCUUUGAUUUGAGACAAGUUUCUCAGACAUUUGUACCUCAAAAUAUCCCACAUUGGCUCUUUGCUCAGCUGCCACGUUCUGGCCCUUGUGAUGAUCUGGUUUCCAGACAUAUUGAGCACAAUAAAUGAGUAGUCCCCGGCGGGCUUCUAAUGGCCGUCUCCUCCCAUAUAAUCACUUAGUCGCCCAUUCUAGAAUCACGCUAGCAUCUAGGACCUUGUUGCUGUCUAAUUGGUUUGCUCUUUACAGAAAUUGCUCUUCAAAAACUGGGACAAUAGUUACCAAUCUCUAGUCAUUUGGGGCAUUUGCUUACGUGCUCUUACUUUCUCUUCUGUGUUCUGUUCUUAUUCUUCUAUUAAACAAAAUUACGGGAGGCCUUUGUUUUGGACUGAGCCCAUGCCCUAGGCCCCAGCAGACCAGACCAAACCAGAAUAGAGUCACACCCUUCAAAUGCCAAUUAGUCAAACUGAAACUUAAAGAAAACAGAUAGAGCCCAAGGCAGAGUAGUUUUUCCUGAAAACAAGAGAUUCCGGCCUGUUUUAGCAUAAUAAGGAAUUCCCCCCUGCUUUAACCCUUACAAGAAAGUAAUCUGGUGUUACCCAAUCCAUUUUUUUUCUAUUGUUCUGUUUCCUUGUUCCCACUUUAUAAAACCCAUUGUUCUGCCACUGCCCAAUGAGAGCUCUCAUUCUAUUUUACAGAAUAGAGGCUGCCUCAAUUCAUGAAUCACAAAUAAAAGCCAAUUAGAGCUAUCACCAAAUUAGUUGUAAUUUUGCCUUUUGACCCUGCCAACUGCUCUUUUCAGGCCACUAUGCUCCCUGACCCCUCCUCCCCCAUAGAAUCAGAUAAUGGGGUCACUGGGGCACCUGGAAGGUAAGAAGUGACACUUCCUUGGAUGUCAGUUUGGGGAGAAAACAGCAGCAAAAUAGUAAUAGCAGCUGGAGUGGCAGCAGCUAUGGUGGCAGCAUUGUCCACAGCACUGGAGGUGAGACGGUGACCGUGGCUGCAGCCAUGGCUGAUCUCUGUCCCUGCCUCCUAAGUCACAGUUCCACUGGGUUAGGGAGAACUUGGUGUCCUGUGGUUACUAAUCUUCCAGUAAUCUAAUCUUUUUUCUUGCUCCAGCAGUCUUUCCAACACUCAUGUAGCCAAGUUUUGUAUUAAAUUCUCUCAAUUUGAAAUAUCUAAAAUGGCAUCUCUUUUUCUAAAUAAACCCUGAUUAAUACUAUAUGUAAUUUGCCAGAGCUUGAAUCCUUAAACUAAUUUAGAGCUGCCCUAUGAUCUUUAUUUUGAAAUCUGGAGCUUUAAAAGUCUGGAUACGACCAGCUGCUCAUUUCAUAUUAUAGAAUAAAAUCAACCAAAUGAAAGAUUAAAAAACUAUUUUUAUCAAACUCCAAUAAGAUUCGAGAAAGGAUAUAAUUUAUUUAAUGCACUAGAAAGUGUUUGCUAUGGUUUGAAUGAUUUCCCCAAAUUUCCUGCAUUGGAAACUGAAUCCCCAGUGCAAUAGUGUUGGGAGGUGGUUAGGUGAUGAGGGCAGAUGAAAUAGUAAGAUAAUAAGAGGUGAUUAGAUCAUGAGGGUGGAGUAGCAUCAUUAUUGUGGGAGCGAGCUUCUUAUAAAAGCCAGUUCACUCUUCUCUUCCCCUGAUGCCCUCUGACAUAUGCUCUCUUGCCCUUUUGCCUUCCAAGAUGGGAUGACCCAGCAGGAAGGUCCUCACUAGCUGCAGCCCCUCAAUCUUGGACUUCUCAGCUUCCACAAUGAUGGGUCAAGUGUCCCUCAUCUGAAAUGCUCAGGACCAGAAGUAUUUUGGAUUUGGGAUUUUUUUUGGACUUAGGAAUAUUUGUAUGAUUAUUAUUAUUAUAAUAAUUGUGUUUGUAGCCAAAAUCUGAAAGCCCAAAAUUUGAAAGACUCCAAAGAGUGUUUCCUUUGAGCAUCAUGUCAAUGUGCAAAAGAUUUCAGAUUUUGGAGCAUUUUGAUUUCAGAUUUUCAGACUUGGAUUCCCAAUCUGAAUAAGAAAUAAAUCUCUAUUUUUCAUAAAUGACCCAGUCUCAGGUAUUCUGUAAUAGCAGCAAAAACAGAUUAAGGCAGUGUUCAUAAUAGUAACUCAUGAUUUGUUGUUAUUAAAAUAUUUCACUGUGACAAUACCAUUAUGAAAUUUAUUUUACAAACAACUUUCUUCAGGGUAUUUUUUUUUAAUUUGAGGCUUAUACAAAACCACCUGAUAAAAAUAGACGCAAUCAUGCUUGGGCUUUUAGAUUCAAAGUCUGUUUCCCCAUCUGUUAUUCAAAGUCUAGGUCUAUAUGACCAAAGCAAAAUGGAGGAUUGUGAAAUUAUCCAUUGACUCACAGACAAAUAGAAUAUCAGAGUAGGGAAGGGGCAGCUGUGCUUAUUUGAUUCAACACCAGUCAGAAAUAUGAUUCUUUGAAUGUCUGAUAACCAUGGAGUGGAUAUCUAUACUCUGUUUGGAUACCCUCAAUUAUAAGGAAGUCAUUACCUUGCCAGGCAGCCCAUUCAAUCAUUGGACAGCUUGGAUUACUAGAAAUGCACCCCUUUUAUUGAGCCCAAGGAAUGAGCUGCCACCACUGAGGCUUCUACUCAUAGGUCCUAGUUGCUCCAUUUAGAUUUGUACAAAAUAAAUAGAUUCUCUAUUCUAUUUGAAAGCUUUUAAAACCAAUAUAUAGAUAGCUAUGAUAUCUAUUUAUAGAAACAAUCUCAACAUCUAAGAGGAAGGUCCAGUGACAUGGGGGAAGUUCUUGAGGUCAGGUGAACCCUCUGACUACACUCUGAAGGCUCCCUGGAAAUGAUGAACUUUGAAAACAAAACAGGCUUUCCUUUCACACAUCUGUACAAGCUCCUUUAGAGACUCAACCACUUCCCCAAAGAGGCAAACUUUCAUAAAUUUCCCAGAAGUGAGGUCAUUGAGGGCUACUUUGGCUCUAGGGACGUUCCUCUUCCCCCUGAAACAUGAGGACACUGCAAAUCCAAGAAAAGCAUACUUCUUUGAGAACCUGACCCAGAAAUAUUUCUUACACAUCACUGUGCUAGUGUGAAUGGUGGCAGCAGAGGAAAACGAAAGUGAAAGAAGGAGAAAUGGCAGGACAUAAACUUUAGGAUUUAGAUAGGGACUAAAUUUUAAAUGGCUUUGUGUGACAAAUCUAGAAGCUUGGAUGCCAUCCUACAGCAAAGAGGAGUCAUUGCCCCAUGCAAUGAUCAUGAUUGCAAUGAUAUUGUAAAAAGAUUCCCCUGGUGGCAGCAUGGAGCAGGAAUUGGUGGGAGACAAGGUUGGCAGUAAGGCAAGUGGUCAGAGGCAAUAAUGCAGGAAAGAAAUGAUAAAUGAAUGAAUAUGAUGAUGUCAGUAGGGAAGCACAGGAUGGGGAUAGAGUGAAUGGGGUUUUAGUGAUUGAUUGGAUAUGGAGGGAAAAGGCAACUGGGUAGAUGAUAGAAUCAUUCGCAAAAGAGAAAAAAAGCAUGAGGAAUAGCAAAUUUAGGUUGCAAAAUUUGAUGAGACCUGUUUGGAGCAUGUUAGAUUUGAAUGCCUCCAGCUUGCACAAGCAGAGAUGACCCACAGGCAGUUGAAGAAGUGGUCUGGCAGUUGAGAGAGAGAGACAGAAGGCAGAAGAUAUAGAUUUUGAAGUCAUCAGUAUAUGGGUAAAUCCAUGAGAAAGGAUGAGAUCCAUCUAUCAUUCAUUCAUUCAUUCAUUCAUUCAUUCAUUCAAGCACUCAUUCCCCUAUCCACUAAAGUAAUAUUUAAUCACUGACUUUGUGCCAGUAGCAUUAUAUGUGUGGCUAAAUAUUUGUGCAUCAGUGAACAAAAAGACACAGAUUUCAUGUUGAUGGUCCUUACAUAAUUGUGGGAAGGAGACAAACAAUACACAAGGAAGUAAAAGGCAAUGCCAGAUAAUAUUAAUGCUCUUAAGAAAUAUAAAGGAAAGUAAGAGAACAGGAUGAAAAGUGAUUAGAGAAGGUCUCCCUGAAGAGGUUAAACGUAAGCAGAAAACUAAAAGAAGAAAGAGGGUAAGCCAGGAGAAGACAGGAGGGAAGAGUGUUCUCUGAAAAUGAAAGGGAUGGGCAAAGGCCCUGGGGUGGAAACACAUCAGACCUGUUGGAUAAACAUCAGGGAUCAUGCAGGGAGAGUGUGUAACAUAAGGAUGAAACCUGGAAAGGAUAGAAGUAUGGGAACAUCAACCUUUGAAGAGUGGGCAAAGAAAGCAGACAAAGGAGGACUGAUCAAAAUUAUAGAAGGAAGGGUGGCUAAUUUUGUAUUCUGUGAAUUUAACACCAUAGUCUGAUAGCUUUCUUCUCAAAUAUCCACCACUCCUGUUUAUAGCUGUGUUUAUACACACAGCGGCAGAACACAUCUAAGAACUCACAUCUCCUCCACUCCCACUCUAGCUCCAGGGGCCUUCCUGAAGCCUGGCAACUGCCUGCCUCUGAGCAUUUGCGUAUUUUCUUGCCUCUUCCUGGAAGUUCUGGAGAAAGGAUGGGGUAGGACACCACAUCCUUCUUUACCGCCAGGAUUCCACUGACUUGUGACUUCCUUGGGGAGGCUGUACCUCAAGUCUAGAGACAAAGAUCGGUUCUCCUGUUACUCAUUCCUAAAGCAAUCUGAUCUUUAUAACUCUAAUCACAAUUGGGAUUAAAUACAUACUCAUGUAGUAUUACUUUCCUCCUCCUAGACAACGGACUCAACCAAGGUAGAAAGCAUGUCUAGCUUGUUCACUCUGUGCAUUUAUUAUUAAUAGUGUUCUAUAGAGAAACAGGACCACUGAGAUAUAUAUGUAUAAACAGAUUUAUUAUGAGGAAUUGGCUCAUUGACUCUGACCAGGAAUGCGAUUAUGGAGGCUGGGAAGUCCCACGUUCUACUGUCCGUAGCUGGCACUCCAGGAAAGCCAACAGUGUGGCUCAGUCCAAGUCUGAAGGCCUGAGGACCAAGGAAGCCGAUGAUGUAAGUCUCAGUCCGAGGGCAGGAGAAGGUGAGAUGAGAUGUCCCAACUCGGCAGCCAGGCAGAAAGGAGUGAAUUCUCCCUCGCUUCAUCUUUGGUUCAAUCCAGGCCCUCAGCAAGCUGGAUGUGCCCACAGAUGUGGGAGAGGGCAGUGCUCUUUACGGAACCCACUGAUUCGGAUUCUGAUAUGGCCAGGAAACACCCAGCAGACACACCCAAAAUCAAUGUUUAGCAAAAAAUCUGGGCAAAUUGACACAUAACAUUAACCAUCACACACCCUGUGUCUCUAAAGUCUUUGCAGCACAAUGUAGGUGCUCAGUAACUAUUUCUUGAUUAAAGUAGAUGAAUGAAUGAAUGGAUUUUUAUGAUUUUCUGUAAAAUCAUAGACAUGACUACAGACUAAGCAACUACAAAGUUGGUAAAAAAAUAAAUAAAUAAAAUAACUGACAGUGAUCAGUCUCAGCAUGCUAGCCUGCUGAUAGAUUGCACUACUUAGGUUUCAUUGGCAGUUACUCUCAGAGUAGCACCCAGAAACACCCCACCUCUACACAUGUGAAAGACGCCACCUCAGUCGCACCACUCCUUGAAGAAGAAAUUCAAAAUUUAUGGACUGUAAGUUUAGUUUAGAUCCAGUCCAGAUGCUAUUUGAAUGUUUUGCUUUGGUUCUAGUUCAGUGCUUCUUUAGCAAAAAAAAAAAAAAAAAAGAAAAAGAAAAGAAAGAGAAAGAAAGAUUAUUAUAUGUUCAAAAUGGCUUAUUAGUUGUUUCAAAAUAAAUAAAAAGAAAUUAUUUGUUCUGGUUGCCAAUCCGUUGAAAAAAAUAAGCAAAAAGUUAACAUAUACUUUGGGGUUGCAGUCAUCAGGCUGUUGUAAUUUUCCCUAAUAUUUGUUCAGAGUUGUAUAUUUCAAAUGUCCAAUUUUAAGGAGAAAAUAACAAUGGGCUUCAAUUAUGGAUAGAGGGACUGGAUUAUGUGUCUGCAAUAGCAAUCUUUUCGGAUACUGAGAAAUCUGGUUUUCAUAUAAUUAUCUGUGACCUUAAAUAUCCCUGUCAUUGGUCCCAAAACCCAUUAGCUCCUUUUGGAGCCCAUAAACAUUAUCAAGCUCAGAUAUUCUGCCAGCCAUAUGUGUUGCCUUGGGGGUUUGGUUUCAGCCAUUAUUUUACGCAGACUGGUGCUAUUUAUCACUAGCUCGACACACACUUCUUUUUUUCACCAAGGAUGGAUAAAGUAAUAUUCAAGUGGUAGAAGUUCUGUGAAUAGUGGGUUUAAUAUUAAUGGCCAAGAAAUAUGCUGAUAAAAAGUACCCACCCAAUAGCAUUAGUUUUUACAUAUGCAGUUGUCCCUCAAUAUCCAUGGGGUUGGUUCCAGGAACCCCCAGAACCAAAAUCUGUAGAUGUUCAAGUCUCUGAUAUAGAUAGAGUAGAAUUUGCUUAUAACCCACACACAUCCUCCUGUGUACUUUAAAUCAUCUCUUAAUUACUUAUAAUACCAAAUACAAU